CGGGACGUGGCGUAGUCCGGUAGCGCACCUGACUGGGGGUCAGGGGGUCGGAGGUUCAAAUCCUCUCGUUCCGACAA
rnacentral:tRNA from 1 species